GCGCUGGUAGUCUAACGGUAGGACUCCACCUUGCCAAGGUGGCGAUCCGGGUUCGAAUCCCGGCUAGCGCA
rnacentral:tRNA from 1 species